UAUAAUUAUUAGUUAGUACCUAUCUUAAUAUUCAAUUUAUUUUUUUUUUAAUUUAAAAUAAGUCACGACACCCAUUCCUCGUCACGGGGAACGGUGGAUCAUUAACUAUGAGUGCGAAUAUAGAUUUUUAUGAGUAGGUUAUGACUUAAGAUGUGACUAUGAAGUCUAUCGUAAAAACGUUUAUUAAACAGUUUCAUUAUUUUUGACUGCACGUUUUUAUUGAAUCCGUAUAAGGCAUAUAACUAAUAGGUAAGAUAAAAUUGAAAAUAAUAAGUGGAGGACUCAUAUUUUUUUUUGUUUUACAGUGCAAUAUUUUUAAGGUGGUGGUUUUUUUUUAAUCUAAAAGCAAGCGUUUAGAUUGUUAAGUUAGGAUCGGCUAACCUGUUUGUAUCCGCAUGUCGAAUAAGAAAUUUUGUUGGAUUUUAUUUUCCCUGCGUAUCAACUAAUUUGGUGACCUUUUAAAAAAAAUUUCUAUGUUGGUAUGAUCUUUUUUUUGGACAGUUAUACGUGUUACUAAAAGAGCGUGCACUUCGUGACACGCAUGUCACAGUAGGUAUGUAAUUAAAAGAAAGAAAAAACACAAGCUACGUAAUUGUUAAAAGUUUAAAAGAAAAAAAAACAUUUCAACAUUUUAAAUAUCCAAAACGAAUUUAUACUUCGAGUGGAAAGUGUCUGGGAUUGCAAAAUUCACCAGGACCUGUAACCACAUGUUGCAGAAAUAGUGCUGUAGGUAA